AUUUAAGAAUUGAGCAGCUGCACAUACAGUGUGAGUUAUAUCUCACAGCCAAUUAAACAAGUAGCAUAAAAGAGCUGUAUUUUAAAUUGUGUUUGAUUGUGUUACAAAAGUGACAUGUCCAUUUGUUUUCACUGAAAAUGUGGCUAGGAAUUGGAAGGAAUCCCCUAGGGCAGUGGUGGAGUUACCAUCCCUUGAAGUGCUCAAGAAACAACUGAAGGGGCACAUCAGCCCAGCACAGAGCAGAGGCAUCCAGCCUUGCCCAGUCAUGGAUUUCCUGCCUGUGGGAAGAUCCAACCUGCGGUGAAUCCCCAGCAGUUUGUGGCUCUGUGAUGUCCUGAUCCCUUUGUCCCUUUGUCUUCUCCAGGUUUUGUUCCAGCCUGUGCUCUGGCUCACUGCAAAUCCACCAGGCCAUGCUUGAGACUUUUUGGCUGUUACUGGCUGCUUUUCUUCUGCCCUUUUUCCCUUUGUGCCCUGCUAAUGCAGUCACCUCCCCUGAAGUGGCCGAGGUUGUUUUUGCUGCCAGGGGAACGAGGGCACACAGAGCCCUCUGUGCCCAGAGCGCUCGCCUUGGCCCAGGCACAAAUGGGAGCUUUGCUUUCCUUUCCUCCUGCUCAGAGGGCACCACCAAGGAGGGGUUUGGCCAUGGGAACUGGAAUGGCUUUGGGCUCAGUAAGAAGGACUCACUGUUUGCAGGCUCAGUGUUAUUUCCCACAGCACACUGUUGCUUUUGAAUGGCAUGCCAGGAUCUGGGAAGGAAGGAGGAGGAGAGAGGGUGAGUCCCUGCCUUCCUUUUCUCAAUCAGUUUCUCUUUUUUAAAGGUACUUUUUGGAAAAGAAAGCCUUCUUUAUAUGUAUUACUGCUAUACAUCUAUAUGUCUGUCUGUACAGAAAGCUGCAUGGAAUAAUUGAGCUUUACACCUUCCAGAAUUGCUGCCACUAAAUUUCCUAAAUUUCUCCUUUUAUUUCUUAAAAAAACCAGGAAGAUUUAAGAAUUCAGAAACAACACAAACAUUUCCCUACCUGAACCUUCCUGGUGAUCAAAAUUGGAGAGGAUUUUCCAAACCUGAGUUCUGACACAAACACCCACUGGGGUCUUUGUACAUCCCCGUGUUCCUUUCUAGAGCUCUCCUGUGCAUGGAGAAUUCCAAGCAGGGUGGGGUGAAUUGGGCUGUGUGUAACAAACAGGCAGGGCUGAGGUGGCUCCUGAGCUUUGCAAAGGGAUAAAGCAGCACAGAACUCCCGGCUCUGAUUUCCUCGGCAGACAGGAGGCAGACAGGAGGAACGAGCUGCUGCCUCUGUCACCCAUUUCCCUGUGGUACCAACCUUCAAACAAUCCCAAAAAUCGGAGCUGUGCUUCUCCUGGGCCCAGGGAAGGGAGGGAAAGGCAGAGCCACCGGUUCUGUUCCCUUGCGGCCACUGAGGGGAGCUGCUCGUUGGCAAACUGGGCUGUGAGACCCAGGGGCUCCAUCCCCCACAACUGGUUCGUGCUCUUUGUGUUACACCCACUGUGUGCUGCACCAAUCCUGAUUUCAACUUUGCUUUUGUCCUCCAGGGUGAAUAACUGCAUUGGAUUUUCUAACUACAAAUUCUUUCUACUGUUCUUAGCCUAUUCUUUGUUGUAUUGCUUGUAUAUUGCUGCAACAGUCUUCAAGUAUUUCAUUAAGUAUUGGACAGUAAGUCAUGAAAUCCGGUUACUUUUUCAUCUGCUCUCAGUCUCGUGGGCUUUGGUGACUCUCGGUGCUCUGUUGCUCUCAGGCAGUGGAGGGGCUGCAUUUUCCUGGGAGGUGUUUCCUGGGCCCUUUGGGAAUCCACCUCCU
rnacentral:lncRNA from 1 species